rnacentral:rRNA from 1 species
CUUCUUUGCUGACGAGUGGCGGACGGGUGAGUAAUGUCUGGGAAACUGCCUGAUGGAGGGGGAUAACUACUGGAAACGGUAGCUAAUACCGCAUAACGUCGCAAGACCAAAGAGGGGGACCUUCGGGCCUCUUGCCAUCGGAUGUGCCCAGAUGGGAUUAGCUAGUAGGUGGGGUAACGGCUCACCUAGGCGACGAUCCCUAGCUGGUCUGAGAGGAUGACCAGCCACACUGGAACUGAGACACGGUCCAGACUCCUACGGGAGGCAGCAGUGGGGAAUAUUGCACAAUGGGCGCAAGCCUGAUGCAGCCAUGCCGCGUGUAUGAAGAAGGCCUUCGGGUUGUAAAGUACUUUCAGCGGGGAGGAAGGGAGUAAAGUUAAUACCUUUGCUCAUUGACGUUACCCGCAGAAGAAGCACCGGCUAACUCCGUGCCAGCAGCCGCGGUAAUACGGAGGGUGCAAGCGUUAAUCGGAAUUACUGGGCGUAAAGCGCACGCAGGCGGUUUGUUAAGUCAGAUGUGAAAUCCCCCGG